rnacentral:rRNA from 1 species
UACGUAGGGCGCAAGCGUUAUCCGGAUUUAUUGGGUGUAAAGGGUGCGUAGACGGAGAAGCAAGUUAGUUGUGAAAUCCCUCGGCUUAACUGAGGAACUGCAACUAAAACUACUUCCCUUGAGUACUGGAGAGGAAAGUGGAAUUCCUAGUGUAGCGGUGAAAUGCGUAGAUAUUAGGAGGAACACCAGUGGCGAAGGCGACUUUCUGGACAGUAACUGACGUUGAGGCACGAAAGUGUGGGGGGCAAACAGG